UUUGGGCGUAAGAACCGUAAGGCGUCUUUUGUUGGGUUUAGUGAACCACGUUUUGCCGUCAAUAGUCGCGAAGUGGAACUCGAAGGGACCCUCAACUGCGGGCCAGCCUUCCUCGAGUGCUCCGGCGGUCUGGGCUCUGCUUUAGCCCUUUCCCCCUCUCAAUCUGACUCCCUUUUUGCAGAGCAUGGUGAGUCGGCGGCAGACCUUGACGGUAAAUCAGCUGCGUCCAGGGUCAACAAUGGGCAGAAGUGUUUGCUGGUAAGCUGGGCAUCUGUUUAUCUGAAUUCCUUUGCAAUAAAGAAGUACAAUCUUCG